GGACCCGCACAAGCGGUGGAACAUGUGGUUUAAUUCGAUGUCACGCGAAAAACCUUACCAGGCCUUGACAUAGUAGUCGUAUGACACAGAGAUGUGUUAGUCGGUUCGGCCGGACUAUUACAAGUGUUGCAUGGCCGUCGUCAGCUCGUGUCGUGAGAUGUUGGGUUAAGUCCCGCAACGAGCGCAACCCUCAUCCUUAGUUACCAUCAGGUCAAGCUGGGCACUCUAAGGAAACUGCCGGUGAUAAGCCGGAGGAAGGUGAGGAUGACGUCAGGUCAGCAUGGCCUUUACGGCCUGGGCUACACACGUGUUACAAUGGUAAUUACAAAGAGAAGCAAGACAGCGAUGUGGAGCAAAUCUCAAAAAAUUACCUCAGUUCGGAUUGUACUCUGCAACUCGAGUACAUGAAGUUGGAAUCGCUAGUAAUCGUAGAUCAGCACGCUACGGUGAAUACGUUCCCGGGUCUU
rnacentral:rRNA from 1 species